rnacentral:rRNA from 1 species
UACGGAGGGGGCAAGCGUUGUUCGGAAUCAUUGGGCGUAAAGAGUAUGUAGGCGGCUAUUUAAGUCAGGCGUGCAAGCCCACGGCUCAACCGUGGGAUUGCGUUUGAAACUAUUUAGCUUGAGUGCAGGAGAGGAAAGCGGAAUUCCCAGUGUAGCGGUGAAAUGCAUUGAUAUUGGGAAGAACAUCUGUGGCGAAGGCGGCUUUCUGGUCUGUUACUGACGCUGAGAUACGAAAGCCAGGGUAGCGAACGGG